UACGUAGGGGGCAAGCGUUGUCCGGAUUUACUGGGCGUAAAGAGCGUGUAGGCGGCCAAGCAGGUCCGUUGUGAAAACUGGAGGCUUAACCUCCAGACGUCGACGGAAACCGCGUGGCUAGAGUCCGGAAGAGGAAAGCGGAAUUCCUGGUGUAGCGGUGAAAUGCGUAGAUAUCAGGAGGAACACCUGCGGUGUAGACGGCUUUCUGGACCAUUGCUGACGCUGAGGAGCGAAAGCAUGGGGAGCGAACAGG
rnacentral:rRNA from 1 species